rnacentral:lncRNA from 1 species
UCGAAUCCCAAAGGCCAAAACACCUGGAUACACACAGAGAAUGCGAUCAAAUCCAACCUUGUCAAUCCUAAAGGCAUCAACGACGAAUUCAAAACAUUCAUGAAUCUUGUCUGCAGACAUCGUAGUUACCAUGGGAUUGUGAAGAAAAAACAACUUCCCAAAUUCCGGAAAUUGCUUUCUUAGAGUAGUGGAUUAUGCUUCACUAGCCCAAGACUCACAACCACAAUUGAAGAAGAAUGAAGAAGAAAAUAUAGCUCCAAAAAUACUAGAACUAAGAAAGUGGAAGACUUACUUGUAUAACUUGGAGAAUAUUUUAUUAACUCAAGAAGAUUUGCAUUUUGUUGGAUGAUGCAAAUGUGGAGGAGAGAGUGGGUAUAUAUAGGCUUUCCACCUCCUCAAUGGACGGUCAGGAUCUAUUUAAUCCUACGGUGUAGAUUCGUCUUCUAGAAUACUCCACACUUUUCUUACAAAAUAUCUAGAUAUUUUUAUCACCU